AUGGUCUUGUUCCAUGGAAAUUCCUGCUCCAUGGAAAUUCCUGUUCCGUGGCAAUUCCUGCUCCGUGAGAAUUCCUGUUCCAUUGGGAUCCCUGCUCCGUGGAAUUCCUGCUCCACCCUGCUCUGUUCCAGACAGGAUUGCUCCCCAAGACCAUCCCAUCCCAUCCCAUCCCAUGGAUCCCAUCCCAUCCCAUCCCAUCCCAUCCCAUGGAUCCCAUCCCAUCNNNNNNNNNNNNNNNNNNNNCUGGGGGAUCCUGGGAUCCGUGUCCUGGGGAUCUGGGAUCUGCACUCCAGGAUCCGUGUCCUGUGGGGUUCUGGGAUCAGGAUCCAGGAUCCGUGUCCUGGGCUGAUCUGGGAUCGGGAUCCAGGAUCCAUGUCCUGGGGAUCUGGGAUCGGGAUCCGGGAUCCUGGAUCCGUGUCCUGGGGUGAUCUGGGACCGGCACCGGAACACCCCCCAGGCUGUGACGGGAACAUUCCCUGGUCUGGGGAUGAUGAAGGGUCCCAAUUAACGCUGGAGCUGGGAACGUGUCCGGUCUCCGUCCCCCGGGAACACCGGGAUCGGCCUUUGGGAUCUGGGGGCUCCAUCCCUGCUCCCGCUGGGGCUGGGAAUCUCCUGGGGAAAUGUCCCGGUGCUGCCAUCCCUGUUCCAUUGGGAUUCCUGUUCCGUGGGAAUUCCCGUUCCAUUGGGAUUCCUGUUCUGUGGGAAUUCCUGUUCCGUGGGAAUUCCUGUUCUGUGGGAAUUCCUGUUCCAUUGGGAAUUCUUAUUCCAUUGGGAAUUCCUGUUCCGUGGGAAUUCCUGUUCUGUGGGAAUUCUUAUUCCAUUGGGAAUUCCUGUUCCGUGGGAAUUCCCGUUCCAUUGAGAUUCCUGUUCCGUUGGAUUCCUGUUCUGUGGGAAUUCCUGCUCCAUUGGGAAUUCCUGUUCCAUGGUCUUGUUCCAUGGGAAUUCCUGCUCCAUGGGAAUUCCUGUUCCCUUGGGAUUCCUGUUCCAUUGGGAUUCCUGUUCUGUGGGAAUUCCUGUUCCGUGGGAAUUCCU
rnacentral:lncRNA from 1 species